rnacentral:rRNA from 1 species
AAUAGAUACCCUGGUAGUCCUAGCUGUAAACGAUGACCACUAGAUGUGGGAGGUAUCGACCCCUUCCGUGUCGCAGUCAACACGUUAAGUGGUCCGCCUGGGGAGUACGGUCGCAAGAUUAAAACUCAAAGGAAUUGACGGGGACCCGCACAAGCAGCGGAGCGUGUGGUUUAAUUCGAUGCGACGCGAAGAACCUUACCAGGGUUUGACAUGCCUGCGCACCACCGUGAGAGCGGUGUACCCGCAAGGGACGCAGGCGACAGGUGCCGCAUGGCUGUCGUCAGCUCGUGUCGUGAGAUGUUGGGUUAAGUCCCGCAACGAGCGCAACCCACGUUUUUAGUUGCCAUCAUUCAGUUGGGCACUCUAGAGAGACUGCCGGUGACAAACCGGAGGAAGGUGUGGAUGACGUCAAGUCAGCAUGCCCCUUACGUCCUGGGCUACACACGUACUACAAUGCUAUGGACAGAGAGUUGCGAGUGCGCGAGUACAAGCUAAUCUCGUAAACCAUGGCUC